rnacentral:rRNA from 1 species
UAAAGAAUUUCGGUAUGGGAUGGGGAUGCGUUCCAUUAGUUAGUUGGCGGGGUAACGGCCCACCAAGACAACGAUGGAUAGGGGUUCUGAGAGGAAGGUCCCCCACAUUGGAACUGAGACACGGUCCAAACUCCUACGGGAGGCAGCAGUGAGGAAUAUUGGUCAAUGGACGAGAGUCUGAACCAGCCAAGUAGCGUGAAGGAUGACUGCCCUACGGGUUGUAAACUUCUUUUAUAUGGGAAUAAAAUGUUCCACGUGUGGGAUUUUGUAUGUACCAUAUGAAUAAGGAUCGGCUAACUCCGUGCCAGCAGCCGCGGUAAUACGGAGGAUCCGAGCGUUAUCCGGAUUUAUUGGGUUUAAAGGGAGCGUAGGUGGAUUGUUAAGUCAGUUGUGAAAGUUUGCGGCUCAACCGUAAAAUUGCAGUUGAAACUGGCAGUCUUGAGUACAGUAGAGGUGGGCGGAAUUCGUGGUGUAGCGGUGAAAUGCUUAGAUAUCACGAAGAACUCCGAUUGCGAAGGCAGCUCACUGGACUGCAACUGACACUGAGGCUCGAAAGUGUGGGUAUCAAACAGGAUUAGAUACCCUGGUAGUCC